rnacentral:rRNA from 1 species
CCUUAUAGUUCUGGGCCGCACGCGCGUUACACUGACACAGCCAGCGAGUUUUUCCUUGACUGAGAAGUCCGGGUAAUCUUGUUAAACUGUGUCGUGCUGGGGAUAGAGCAUUGCAAUUAUUGCUCUUCAACGAGGAAUCCCUAGUAAGCGCAAGUCAUCAGCUUGCGUUGAUUACGUCCCUGCCCUUUGUACACACCGCCCGUCGCUACUACCGAUUGGAUGGCUCAGUGAGACCUCCGGACUGGCCGAGAGAGGUGGGAAACUACCACUCAUGGCCGGAAAGCUGUUCAAACUCGGUCAUCUAGAGGAAGUAAAAGUCGUAACAAGGUCUCCGUUGGUGAACCAGCGGAGGGAUCAUUAUCGAGUUUUUAACUCUUAAACCAUUUGUGAACUUACCUUCUGGCUGCUUUGGCAGGUCCUUCGGGAUUUGCCGGUAGCACAAACAAACUCUUUAUAUUUCUAGAGAAUUAUUCAUUGCUGAGUGGCAUUAACUAAAUAAGUUAAAACUUUCAACAACGGAUCUCUUGGCUCUAGCAUCGAUGAAGAACGCAGCGAAAUGCGAUACGUAAUGUGAAUUGCAGAACUCAGUGAAUCAUCGAAUCUUUGAACGCACAUUGCACCUGGCAGCAUUCUGCCAGGUAUGCCUGUCCGAACGUCAUUUCACCACUCAAGCUCUGCUUGGCGUUGGAGGACCGCGUUUGCGGGCCGCCGAAAUGAAUCGGCUGUUAUACUUGCACCUUCCCUGCGUAGUAAUUUUGUGUUACGCUUUGAACUCUUGUACUACAUGCCGUUAAACCCACCAAUUUUUUUAAAGGUUGACCCCGGAUCCGGGAGGAAUACCCCCUGACUUUA